UCGACGCGACACCACGCUCGCCGAUAUCACGAUUAAUAUUGUACCCUAAUUAGAAAGAUAUAUAAAUUAUUAUUGCGUUUUAAGCGUGGCGUUUAUUACUGCAUUAUGCCAAGGACGUAUAUCAGGAAGUCCGAUCGAACGAUUCUAUCAGACGAGAAAUUCAGAACAGCGCAGCAGCUCGUCCAAAAUGGCUGCUCGACCAGAUUUGCGGCAAAAGUGAUCGGUGCAAGUGUGUCCGGUCUGCGGAAUCGGCUCAGCCAUGGGGUAGUAGCGUCCUCGCUAGGCCGCAACCAGACUUUCAAUAAGGAACAGGAGAACGACUUUAUAGAGUACUGCAAAAAGGCCAAAGGCUCGGAAGUGACUAGGAACGACUUGAGGGUGCUGGCAUUCGAGUACGCCACUGCUAACAACAUCAAGAACCAGUUUGUUAAGUCGUCGGGCAGGGCGGGCUACGACUGGGUACGCGGGUUCCUGAAUCGACACCCCGAACUCCUCACCAAGCCCGGGGAACGGAGUGACCAUCAUACUGUAUUCGAUUUGACCCUGUACAAACCAGCUACUCAAGUUAGCCAUCCUGCAGCUGAGAGUGGAAGCCAGCGUAACCAUGAUGGUUUGAGUUUGACUCUGGAGAGACUUGAUGAAUUCCUGCCGGAUGAUGAUAUGGCCAGCGACGAAAGCGACCUCGACAGCGACCCAAGAGACCCGAUCAAGAUCGAAAUGAAUUUUGAAAAGUUGGCGGAAUUUCAAGCAGAAGAAGAACUGGAAUUCGGCUCAGCGCGGGCACAGACGCAACCUCCUAAAGUCUAUGCGCCGCAGCGCGUAGCAGCGUCCGCGCCGCCGCCGCUGCCACAGAGCGCUAACCCCAUGUUCUGGCCUGAGGAACCCCAACCCAAGAUCAGGCCUGGACCCGGAGCUGACGAGUGCCAGAUAUUCGGUGACUUCGUAGCGUCUGAGCUUCGCACGCUUCGCUCGGACGAGUCCAGAAAGCGGCUGAAGAGGAUCAUCCAGAAGGCCAUCCUCAACAUUGGCGAGGAGGAGGACGUGAACAUCAUCAGCGGAUAGCGCCAGGCCCGGCUGUCCACGCCUGACCUGCUGGACAAGAUCUAGGGAGGCUAGAUUAUGGUAUUACAAAGAAUACGACAGUGCCAUUGAAGAGUAUUUUAGUUAGCUAAGCCAGAAGUCUGGACUAUAUUUACUAAAAGUGCUGAUUGAAUAGUUAUUAUUUGCCAGGGAGUGUUGGUUAAAUAGCCGGGAAAUACGAAUGUGCUGAUUGAACGGUCCUUGUUGAGCAGGGAGUGAUGGCUAAACAGGCUUAGCAUUAAUAGACCAUGCUGAUUUGUAGUUAUUAUUUUCAAGGAGUGUUGGCGAAAUAGCGUCGACUUGCCAGGCAGAUGAGUGACGACAGAAUCAUGACAGAAGACAUCAUGAAUUAAAUCUUGUGAUACAAAAUUUUAAAUACUUAAGUUUUUAUAUUAAGUACAGUAC